rnacentral:lncRNA from 1 species
GAGGAGAGUAUGGCAGCCGGCAAUGGAGAGUUGUUGGCGCAGGGGUAACCUAGGGGAGGUUGAGAAUUCCAGGAGACUGUUUUAGAAGAUUGUAGCGAAAGGUAGGAUAGGGACUAAGUCCUUUUUCCUAUAUAAUUGAGUCCAUUGUCUCUUUCCACAUAGGAGGAGUCGACUUGACUUACAAGCAAACCUAACUCCACACUUGACAUGAAUUACAAGUAAACUUUUCUAGACUCUUUCUAAACCUUUACCUACUCCUAGUGGCUGUGGUACGGUAAGCAUGAAUUACUGUAGCAGCCAAGAUGGCUGACGUGUUGGGCCGGUUGGGCCUGCCCUUGCGCCCAAGCCUCCAUAGGCACAUGACAUUUACCUUGGCCUACUGGUCCGUUUUCCAUUAGCUUUUUUGCUGCAAGACACCUUGUCCUCCU